rnacentral:rRNA from 1 species
AGAGUUUGAUCAUGGCUCAGGACGAACGCUGGCGGCGCGCUUAACACAUGCAAGUCGAGCGAGAACCAGUCCUUCGGGACUGGGGAAAGCGGCGAACGGGUGAGUAACACGUGGAUAACCUGCCCUCGGCACCGGGAUAGCCCGGGGAAACCCGGAUUAAUACCGGAUAGCCCAGCUGGCUUUCGAGCCGGCCGGAAAAGGUAGCUUCGGCCUCUGGCCGAGGAUGGGUCCGCGGCGGAUUAGCUUGUUGGUGGGGUAAUGGCCUACCAAGGCUCCGAUCCGUAGCUGGUCUGAGAGGACGAUCAGCCACACUGGGACUGAGACACGGCCCAGACUCCUACGGGAGGCAGCAGUGGGGAAUCUUGCCCAAUGGGCGAAAGCCUGAGGCAGCGACGCCGCGUGAGGGAGGAAGGCCUUCGGGUUGUAAACCUCUUUCAGGAGGGACGAAGCUACUCGGGUGAAUAGCCCAGAGGGUGACGGUACCUCCAGAAGAAGCCCCGGCUAACUACGUGCCAGCAGCGGCGGUAAUAC